CGGAACGGGCGCCGUGCGGCGCCCGUUCGGAGGUACAGCGGCUCGGUCGCCGUCAGCCGAUCGUCGGCCGCAUCUGGCGCAGGCGCCGGACUCGCUCCUCGAUCGGGGGUGCGUCGAGAAGAGGCCGGCCAGCGCCCCGCCGCUGAGCGGCUUGACGAUGUAGAGCGGCUCCGACGCCUGGUUCACCUGCAUCGGAAUCGCCUUGGCCACCUCCUCGAGACGCAGCAGGGCGCUCGCCAGCGACUCCGGG
rnacentral:rRNA from 1 species